rnacentral:sRNA from 1 species
UUUAUGUGUGUGCGGGCCGCGUGAGCGAA